rnacentral:rRNA from 1 species
GAUGAACGCUGGCGGUAUGCUUAACACAUGCAAGUCGAACGGUCACUUCGGUGAUAGUGGCGGACGGGUGAGUAACGCGUGAGAAUCUGUCUUCAGGUCGGGGACAACAGUUAGAAAUGACUGCUAAUACCGGAUGUGCCUUUGGGUGAAAGAUUUAUUGCCUGAAAAAGAGCUCGCGUCAGAUUAGCUAGUAGGUGGUGUAAGAGACUACCUAGGCUCCGAUCUGUAGCUGGUCUGAGAGGACGAUCAGCCACACUGGAACUGAGACACGGUCCAGACUCCUACGGGAGGCAGCAGUGGGGAAUUUUCCGCAACGGGCGAAAGCCUGACGGAGCAAUACCGCGUGAGGGACGAAGGCUUUUGGGUCGUAAACCUCUUUUCUCAAGGAAGAUGAUGACGGUACUUGAGGAAUAAGCAUCGGCUAACUCUGUG